UAAACUUCGUGGUGGCAGCUAGUUAUUUUAAUAUCAUUGUGUAUACGGCCACCGAACUGUCGUACCGUUAAUAAACACAUUAUUAUCAAUUCAGCGGUUGUUGGUGUUUUCAAACAUUUUAGAUGCAGAGCAAUUUGGCUCAGAGUAUGUUCCUGGCUGGUGGCCGAGGUGGUUACGCGGGUGCCGCCUUGCAGGGACCACUCGCGUACUUGGAGAAGACUGCGACCAAUAUAGACAUGGUGGGGCUGGGUGAUGGGCGAAGGUGACGCGGUCGCGGGAGGGGAAGGGGACGUGGGCGUGGCAGAGGCAGAGGUCGCGGUGCAUCCCCUGAAUACGGUGGCAGCUUGACGCCUCCGUAGCCCUCCCUCCCCGCGGGGACCUCCCCCGCAGCUCACUCAUUCGCUGAUCUACUAGAUUCACUCAUGUCUUAACUAUGUUAGCGUAGACACGUGUAUUGGAGAUGGAGGCAGAUGUAUUUUUUUAUAGUAAGGUUUUUGUUUCCAUUCGUUAGGAUAGGUGGAGACAAAUUUGUUUAUAGUAAUAUAUAUAAGAGUCGUAGUUACACCAUUUAUAAUUCAAGAAUUUUCAGGAUCGAGUGUUUUUGAAUAUAAUUAUUAUAAUUAAAAGAUAUAGUUCAUUCGUUAUAAAUGGUUUAAACGCACUGACAGCUCCAUUAAUCUAUGGUUCGUUUAAAAAAGUGACGUGAUUUGAAAUUGAAGUUGACCAGUUGUUUCUUAAUUUUAAAUUGAUCAAAUAAAUAAAAUAUAAGAUAACAUUUGCAUGCCUAUUCAUAUGUGGCGGAUUUUUGUAAUUUAUGUAACUUUAUGUGACUUAGGUAUUAAUUUUAAAAUUUUAAAUCUAAUUCAUCAACAUUACGUUCGCCUAGCCUUGUCUGCCUCCAUUAGUAAAUCAGUGAGUGACAUAGAGUGAGUUUAAAAUAGACUGCCGUGAUGUGUAAGACUCUAAUAGUAAUUACUCUAUAAGACCAAGAGAUAAUGAAACCUCCGUGUGACGGUAUAUUUGUAAGGCUAGAAAUUUUGGAGUUAUACUUUUGGCGCGAUGGAGAAAAAUGAUGAGUGUGAAUUUUUACGAUGCGCGCGCACACCACUUAAAUUC